GGUCGCAUGGUGUAGUGGUUAUCACAUCUCGUUUACAGGAAUGUAAAUCAAAACCGAGAAGGCCGCAAGUUCAAUCCUUGCUGCGAUCA